GGUCGUCUUCUUGCUUUUGAGACUAUACAUAUACAUGUGCAUUAUAUACACUACUCAAGUAACUAAAUUAUUUAAUUUUGCAUAUAUAGCCAAAGAAUGAUGUCUUUCUGUGUACACUUACUUCUUACUCUCUAGGUACUUGCAGUUCCUUAUUUUAAGAGAUCAGAAGAAACCAAAGUUUGGAUCUUUUUAUAGUUUUCUUCCAAGUUUUGUUUUUGUUUUUUCUUUUGUUGGAGUUUCCUUCUUCAUAUAGCU